GUACACACCGCCCGUCAAGCCACGAAAGCGAGGGGCAUCCGAAGUCGCUGYGCUAACCGUAAGGGGGYAGGCGCCGAAGAUGAAACCCGUGAUUGGGACUAAGUCGUAACAAGGUAACCGUAGGUGAACCUGCAGAAGGAUCA
rnacentral:rRNA from 1 species